rnacentral:rRNA from 1 species
AUUGAACGCUGGCGGCAUGCUUUACACAUGCAAGUCGAACGGCAGCGCGGGCUUCGGCCUGGCGGCGAGUGGCGAACGGGUGAGUAAUGCAUCGGAACGUGCCCAGUAGUGGGGGAUAGCCCGGCGAAAGCCGGAUUAAUACCGCAUACGACCUGAGGGUGAAAGCGGGGGACCGAAAGGCCUCGCGCUAUUGGAGCGGCCGAUGUCGGAUUAGCUAGUUGGUGGGGUAAAGGCUUACCAAGGCGACGAUCCGUAGCUAGUCUGAGAGGACGACCAGCCACACUGGGACUGAGACACGGCCCAGACUCCUACGGGAGGCAGCAGUGGGGAAUUUUGGACAAUGGGGGCAACCCUGAUCCAGCCAUGCCGCGUGCGGGAAGAAGGCCUUCGGGUUGUAAACCGCUUUUGUUCGGGAAGAAAUCCUCUGGGCUAAUACCCCGGGGAGAUGACGGUACCGGAAGAAUAAGCACCGGCUAACUACGUG